AUUAGAUUUUAAACUUUCACGAUGAUUAGAUAUCGCGUUUGUAAUUCUAGCGAGUAGCGUUAUCAAUGCUUUGUACUUUGUUCCAUCGUUUUGUGAAUAUUCCAGGUCGCUUCGAGACUCGAAAAAACACGGGUGUACCGUCCAUGCGAUCGUAAAAGUUUAAGAUCUAAAAACUAUUCUGAAUUCUAAGACCAAAGGUGAAUGUGACUUCUCGUGUUCUUCCUUUUCGCGUAGUUUUCGUCUAAAAACGUUGGAAAGCGUAAACGCGUAAGCAUUGAAAGUUUCAGCCAGUUUUUAUAGUUAGGAAACACAAGGCGCGUGCUACUGGCUCGUCGAUGAGAAAUUGACAAGAGCAACGGUAUCUCGGAGGAUGUUCUUUCUACCCUUUUGCCGAUAAUACCGAUGUUUUAUAGGUUCGUGAGCCGUUAACACAGAGAGGGGAACGCGCUGGAUUUGUAACACUUUCUACCGCGGCAAGAACACCGAUAGCUUUUAUCUUUCGCGCCCGCAAACAUUCAGGCCAGUGUCUUUAUCUAACGUGAUCCCGUGGAUACGCGAGCCGAUAAGACUUGUGCACGGAAUAAACGAAUCGAGUGGUGGCUUUGAUCGACCUGCAGGAUAUAACCCGGAUACAACGUCUCCCGUGCACGGCAAGAAAUUGAUGUUCCAAGGCUGCCUGUCUUACCUCCCCUGUUAUCAAUCCCGGAUCAACGACAAGAGCAGCGCAUAAAGAAAAGCUAGUUCCAUUAAGAAAUAGUUUCUUUCUUACGUAACAGGCAUCAGGGAUAUCGAUCUUCUAUACACGAAAUUUGUAUCGGCGCAUAUGGAAGAUGUUAAGUUUUAGAGAUUGUUAGGUUAAGUUUUAAGUAAAAGUUGAAAUACACGUGGUUUCCUUCAAGCAACUAAGAGAAACGAGUCUCGACGUUUCAUAUUCUCCAUCCACCUUCGUUCACGAAUGUGACCAAAUUUCAUAUUCCUAAUAAUAGCGUUGUAUCGUGGACAAAAGGCCUAAGAGAUAUCGGGUGAACCAUAAACAGUGUCGCGAGAAAGCCGAGGUGCCUACAGGCCCAUCAAUGUGUCGUCGGUCCUUCGUGACCCUGGCCACGAGCGGUUGCGAAACACGUGCGUGGUGAAGCUAAGACAAAAGACAAAGGGAUGCUAAGGGACAUAGACGAAUUAAGAGCCAGUGUCAGUGGCGAAGCCGGAGAGUGUUAGUUGAAAAGUUAGAGAGUGCGAAUUGCGUUGUCGAGAGAGUGUGAUCCGCGUGAGAGAGAGCGUUGGAUGCGUGGUGACGAGAGUUGCGAAUUAAUUAUCUAGUCGUCCUAAUUAUAGCACGUUGUUGUAUUUAGUUCGCGUUAAACAACCAUCGUUUCCUGUUUAAUCAACAUCUGUACAAUCCAUUAUUAUUAAUAAACUAAUUGUAGUAUAAGAUGUUGAGGAAAUAUUAGGUUGGUAUGAUCACUAGUUCCUACAUGCUAAGUUGGUACGACUUCUAACGACGCUCCUUUGUCUUUGGCGUCGGCCACGUGUUAAUUAUCUCGGUGUAUCCUGUGUGUUUAUAUGGCUGUACAUGGUGGUGAAAUACAGAACGUAAAAAUUGAAUCUGUGUGAAUCAAUAAAUAUCAAACUCCAAAACCUAUUUAAUAACCUAAGAUCCUGCAAUAGAUUUUGUAUUUUCUCGAAAUGACAAUUUCUUGUUAUUCGUGUCAUAGCAACAUCGAACGACUGUAUUUCGGGAUCAACGUACACGCAGUGUAUCUUGCGAAUCUGGUGAUAUUGUUCGUAACGCUAUGUGUGUUACGGGUACGCUCGACGCGACACGCGUUUCAUUGAAAAUCAAACGGACGAUUUUCGCGAUAUCUGUGAACGCAUGCGUGUUAUUUUAAUUGAAUGACCUGUGUGCCGAGAUCAAUAUAAGCGAAGUUAUUACGAUUGAUGAAACAACGGGACCGGUUGAAGAUUCAACAAGCGCGACGAUGAUCGAGAACAGGCGUGAACGAUAGAUCCGAAAGAGUAAACGACACGAAAGGAGAACUCGAGAGAUACAGUGGCUCGCGAAAGUGUCUCAACUCUUGUAGAAACUCUCUAUGAAUUAUAGACGCGUUAUGAAAGAUUCUGAAAUUUCCCUGACACUCUAACAAAAUUAUGACCGUAUUGGUGAAGUUUCAAAGGAAUCUGAAAGUGAAUAUAAAAGUUGCUUCGCAGAGAUCACCGAAAUAUCGUAUUUGAGACGGUCAAUUUUAUUCGUUACAUUGUUUCCAGGUACAUUUUCAGACUGGCUUCGACGUAAUCGUGACGCUCGUGUUUCGUUGCAGUGAUAACGAAAUUCCCAAAUGAUCCGCAUAAUACACGCAACAUAAGCGUAAUAUAUGGUACAUUCUAAUACGUAAAUAUAUAAUUCUUUUUAUAUAAUAAACACAAUAUAUAUCAUUUCCAAAUUGAGACAUUCUGCAGACAAUGCGAAAUAGUCUCGUUGCAAUGAAAUUUGCCAAUGAAAUUUACCAAUGAAAUUUCGAAAUGUUAUAUACGAUACACAUAAUGUACGUAACAUCGUUACACGUGAUAUACGAUACGUUUCAAUUGUAAUACGCGUUAUAUAAUACGAGUUAUAAAUUGACCAAUAUUAUCACGAUAAUGGCGUCUCGUUAGGCUGCUAAUCAAAUUUCAUAAAGGUUUCGUACAACGCGUAAAAUUUGCCUCUGGCAAGCGUUGAAAUACUUUCCUGAGCCGCUGUAAACGACCAAGAAAAGGAUUAGUCAGUCGGCGCUAGAACACGGAGAUACGAAGCCGAAGAAGUGUCAGGGACGCCGAUCGGAGAACCACGCUCCUUUCGAAUUCACUGUUCUCGCGAUACGACCGAUCGAUCGAACGAAGCUCGCUGAGCCUGGAGACCUAAAUCUCGGUGAAAAUCCACCCUUACAUUCAGUCGCUCUUUCUUCGCUCUUUCUUUUCCUUUCGUUGCGCCUGUUCUUCUCGCAAUCUCCAGGAUUUCCUACGCUUAUCGGUGAUUCAUUGCGUUGCACGCGAUCGCGGCAUGGCCACGCGAGAUCGACGAAUAAAUACCGAGCAUAAAUGUCGCGGUAGAAGCGAUUUCUUUCGUCCCACGAAUUGUAUUCCCUUCGGACUUUGCCAUAGUUUUCAUGCAAAUAGCGAAAUCCUCGAACUUAUUCCUAAAGUCGUAUCGAGCGGAAUUCUGACCCGAAGACAAAUUCCAGCGCGCGAUAGCACAGAGUUAGGAGAUUUUCCGGGGAGUAGGCGCAUCGGCAACAACUCGGAGGAAUCUCGCUGGCGUGGAAUAAAAUUAACGUCCGGCUGCAACAAUUUUACGGGGGCAUUUUACACGAACGAAAUUUACGUAUCGCUAUCGUUCUCAAGUAUUUGAACAUCUGCACGAUGUUUCUCUACCGUUGAUCCUCUAGCUCUUGCCGUAACCGAGAUAAAAUAUUACACUAUCGCUAAGUUGAAACUGGAACGAGAAAUACGCCUGGAUCCUUUCACGAAAAUACCAACGUCGAACAAACACGUUUAACGCCGCUUGAUACAAACACCAGCGAUUUCUAUCUGCCCCCAAUUACUCUUUCUCUUGGGAAUAUAAAUAUCAUGUAUUUAUACCGAUCGAUAUUAACUAUGGUUUUCAUCGAUAUCUACCAACUGUGCUACACGAUUGACUGAGACGACAUCAACAUCAAAAAUAAACGAAACAGUUUCAUCCGAAUCGUAUUUGCGUCUACGAUCGUUUCAGUGAUUCCACUGGGACAGAGAUUUCGUCGUAAGGACGAGCGACGAAAGAUUGAAAUGCGUGCGAAGAAGAGCGGUGCCAGAGAAGCCAGGGAACCAGGGGAGUCCAAGGCGAAGAACAAGGACAAGUCGGCGUCGCGACUCGUUGGAGAGUCGCAACGAGACAUCCGCAGCGCUCGAAACACCGCGAUGAUUCCUAUUGCUUCCGCCUAUCUAACGAUCCAUCGGUAACCUCUGUCAGCUGUUUCUCAUCGAUGCCUGGAAUCUCAUUUACCGAACGCUUAAUAGACAAUCAGCCGGCCGAAGCGGACGGGCAAAUUGUUUCGAUCGACUGCCACUUCCGGCGGCAUUCGACGCUGUCGAAGAUUGCCUCGUUGACGCUUCGGUCAUUCGAUUAUUUUUCACCCGUUUGUAAUGGAGUUCGGCCUCGCGUCGUUGACGACGUGCGCCGCAUCGAAAAGAAGAGGAAGAAAAGAGGUCAUCGGGCUCCAGGAUCGGACGAUAUCGACGAGGAGGAAACGAAAGAACGGAGCGUUGUUGCGCACCCGACGUGAAUCGUUUCGUUGGGUGUCGCAUCCGGCUCCGUCGCCGGUGUCCGCGAAAUUAUCUAAUCGAUGACUGCCGGACAUCUGCGUUCUGUUUCUGUCUCUUUGCGAUCGUGCUGCGUUGAUCGAGUUCGCUGUUUUCACGUAUACUCGUCGUAAGAGAAACCAUUGCCAUUUCUUCGUGACGACUAUACUCUUAAACUUGCUGUUUAAAUUGCAAUUUAGUAAUUGCAUUAAUAACAUUGGGAAAUAAAACGAUCGUUUCAUUACAAA